rnacentral:misc_RNA from 1 species
AAUUCUCAACCUCACCAGUUUUGUCACCGAAACUGUGUGAAGGCUUGGAUGUGGAGGUUUUUGCAGGCUGCCUCUGUGCGGUCUGCUCCUCUGAAAUGCAUUAGCGAGUUUCACUAAGCUCCGUCUAUUGGUGUGAUAAUUAUCUACGCCGUGGAAGGGGUUUAGACUUGCUUCUAACCGUCCGCAAGGACAACACUUUGACA